rnacentral:rRNA from 1 species
UACAGAGGGGGCUAGCGUUGUUCGGAAUUACUGGGCGUAAAGGGCGCGUAGGUGGCCUGUUAAGUCGAACGUGAAAUCCCCGGGCUCAACCCGGGAACUGCGUCCGAGACUGGCAGGCUCGAAUCCGGGAGAGGGAUGUGGAACUCCAGGUGUAGCGGUGAAAUGCGUAGAUAUCUGAAGGAACAUCAGUGGCGAAAGCGACUUCCUGGACCAAUACUGACGCUCAUGUGCGAAAGCGUGGGGAGCAAACAGG